rnacentral:misc_RNA from 1 species
UUUCCGUAGGUGAACCUGCGGAAGGAUCAUUAUUCAAUAACCGAGGUACGAGAGCUGUCUUUGACCGUAAAGCUCGUGCACCCCCGAGUACCCUCACAAACAUCCGUCCCUCCCCUAUGUGCUCCACCGCUUGGGUCCCCCUUUGCCCUGUUCGGAGGGAGGCCUACGUCUUCACACAAACUUUGUAUGCGGUUUAGAAUGUACUUGUUGUUUUUGAGAUCACGAAAUAAAUACAACUUUCAACAACGGAUCUCUUGGCUCUC